GGGUGCGAUCACACCAGUACUAAUGCACCGGAUCCCAUCAGAACUCCGCAAUUAAGCGUGCUUGGGCGAGAGUAAUACUAAGAUGGGUGACCCCCUGGGAUACGUUCGUGUUGCAUCCU